GAACGGGUGAGUAACACGUGAGUAAUCUGCCUCUGGCUUCGGGAUAGCCACCGGAAACGGUGAUUAAUACCGGAUAUGACAUCUUCACGCAUGUGAUGGGUGUGGAAAGUUUUUUCGGCCAGGGAUGUGCUCGCGGCCUAUCAGCUUGUUGGUGGGGUAAUGGCCUACCAAGGCUUCGACGGGUAGCCGGCCUGAGAGGGUGACCGGCCACACUGGGACUGAGACACGGCCCAGACUCCUACGGGAGGCAGCAGUGGGGAAUAUUGGACAAUGGGCGGAAGCCUGAUCCAGCAACGCCGCGUGAGGGAUGACGGCCUUCGGGUUGUAAACCUCUUUCAGCACAGACGAAGCGCAAGUGACGGUAUGUGCAGAAGAAGGACCGGCCAACUACGUGCCAGCAGCCGCGGUAAUACGUAGGGUCCGAGCGUUGUCCGGAAUUAUUGGGCGUAAAGGGCUCGUAGGCGGUUUGUCGCGUCGGGAGUGAAAACACCGGGCUUAACUCGGUGCUUGCUUUCGAUACGGGCAGACUAGAGGCAUUCAGGGGAGAACGGAAUUCCUGGUGUAGCGGUGAAAUGCGCAGAUAUCAGGAGGAACACCGGUGGCGAAGGCGGUUCUCUGGGAAUGUCCUGACGCUGAGGAGCGAAAGUGUG
rnacentral:rRNA from 1 species